CAUGAAUGAAAAAUUACAUUCGAAAGUCUUAAAAAUAUUAUAAAAGGUUAUUCAAGAAUAUUAUCCAGAAGAUAAAUUCAGAAGAAUCCAAAUCUAGUAUUGAAGGCUUUCCGUUUGGAAUUCGAGCCCCAACAUUUGUGCAUUCCGGAACUUGGUGUCUUUCUCAACAUAACAAAGGGACGUACUCGCGUGGGUUUAAUCGAUUGAGACGGCAGAUAAUCGUGGCACUCGCGGUGGAGCUUCCGGCAUGUAACAGAACAUCGUAAGUCCUCUUAACAUGACUCGCACAAUGGCGGGGAGUAAGGCCGGUGUGUUUCCACUGACCGGGUCAGUUCCAUAAUACCACGCGGACGGCGGCGCGGCAAGAGCCGAGCGUGGGAUGAAUGUUACAUGUGCAUGCCACUCAGCAGAUUGCAGCCGACUGAAGUGCAGUCAGAUAUGCCGCACAACGAUAGUAGCAUCAUCCUCGAAUGGCGCGGACAUUAGCGAUGGCGCUCGUCGAAAAUCUAAGCUGUCCAUUGGCGUAACUUUGGUACUAAGACGACGCCAAUGUAAAGAGUAGUUUGCCAUCAUAAAAAUGCCGAGCGGUCAUCUAUACAUCCGUGGUACGACGCGGUCGAAAUAGUUAAAUAGAGAUAAUGGACCGGAAUGGGAUUGGCUCCUCGAUGAUGCUGCUCGUUCGGAUUAUGAAGAUGGAUGAAAGCAAUCACACUCGCCGCAGGCGAGUCCGUAACUUCACAUUUUCCGAGAACAAAUCAUGAUCUGAACGUCCAUUCUCUUCUCUAUUUUUUCGUCAUUUUACAUAUUACUUCGGCAUUUCUGUCAUUGUAAACACAGUAAAACAUAUGAAAUGCGACUUGAAGAUAAUGGAUUCAUUGUUAUCAUCACUAACGAAAAAAA